rnacentral:rRNA from 1 species
UACGGGGGGGGCAAGCGUUGUUCGGAAUUACUGGGCGUAAAGGGCUCGUAGGCGGCCAACUAAGUCGGACGUGAAAUCCCCAGGCUCAACCUGGGAACUGCGUCUGAUACUGGAUGGCUUGAAUCCGGGAGAGGGAUGCAGAAUUCCAGGUGUAGCGGUGAAAUGCGCAGAUAUCGGGAGGAACACCUAUGGCGAAGGCAGCUCGCUGGGACGUUACUGACGCUGAGACGCGAAAGCGUGGGGAGCAAACAGG